GGACAGUGUCUAAUAAAAUUGUUCACUUGUAAAAAAAUGUAUUGCUUUUGCCUUACAUACAAACACUCCCAGAUUUUCAUUUUCAUUAGUCUCUGAGCACGCGCUAUGCGCGUGUACCCCACAUCUAUUAUACAGUCUGUUUAUUAUUUUAGGGCUUUAAACCUUAAUAUAAGAUCAACUUAGACAUUGUAAUUUCAAAUGACCAAUUGUGACAACUUA
rnacentral:misc_RNA from 1 species